AUCAUUCACAUCAGGCAAUGCUUCUUGUGAAAAGCAAACCCAGAACUGGUGUGUGUUUUUUAUAGGGCAGGGCAGCUGUAACCAACACCUCCAAUCUCAUCUCAUUGAUUGGACUCCAGUUGGCUGACAUCUCACUCCAAUUAGCUCUUGGAGAUGUCAUCAGUCUAGGGGUUCACAUACUUUUUCCACCUGCACUGUGAAUGUUUACAUGGGGUGUUCAAU